rnacentral:ribozyme from 1 species
AACUGCCGCUACUUGGAGAACGAAGGGAUUGAGAUCGAUGGUGUUCGGGUGUUUGCGACUCCAAAUAUG